rnacentral:lncRNA from 1 species
CAACACUGGCUCACAGGUGACUGUAGAGCUUGGCCUCAGUCCCAGGGGAACUGGGGAAUCAGAAGGGGUUCAGAUAGGAGAGAAACAGGGUCAGUUUGGGCUGUAGGAGACCCCCCUGGCUGCCAUGUGGAGGGUGGACUAGAAAGUGGUAUCAGGCUGGGAGCCUGAGAGAGGCUGGAGCAGGGCAGGGAGGGGAGGAGGAGACAGGUCAUGGGACACGAGGCUGAGGGCCAAAUGGAAGGGAGAUGGCCAGGGUGAAGUCCAGGGCUCUGACUUGGAAAAGGGGGACAGUGGGGCCAACCCUGAGAUGGGAAUACAGGAGAAAACAGUUUGGGGAGAAUUCUGAGGCCACUGUGGGUCCUGGGGUGUGUGAUGGUCCCAGCGGAUGUCCAAGGGGAGAUGCUCUAUGUCUCCCUCAGAAAUAGGGUGCAGGGAAAAGGCUAAAGAAUCCAUGGAGGUCUGUGAGGAGCAUGGCAAGACAGCCAAGGAAUCUACACAGGGUCAGGAAGGGCCUGCUGUCCCCCAAAAGUUCUGCAGUGUAGGCGAGAAGGGGGGAACAUGCAGAGCUCAGAAGAAAGCCCUGAGGCAGACAAGGCUGUGAGGGCCCUUUUGCGGGGAGGGAAGCUUCUGCGCAGGAGUAACAGGAGCCGCUGGGGCACGUGGGCCUAGAUGCCCAACCAGACAGCCAUCUUGCGCUGCGGUCACGUGGUGGUCACGUGAUGUCCACUAUAGGGCCCAACGGUAGGUGCAAACCACCUGGAUUGGGGUCCAGGCCUAGAACUUUUUCAAGCUUCAGGUCCCUCAGUUCCCCCCAGCCCCUCCCCCA